rnacentral:rRNA from 1 species
AACGAACGCUGGCGGCAGGCUUAACACAUGCAAGUCGAACGGGCAUAGCAAUAUGUCAGUGGCAGACGGGUGAGUAACACGUGGGAACCUUCCUAGAGGUACGGAACAACGCAGGGAAACUUGCGCUAAUACCGUAUACGCUCUUGCGAGGAAAGAUUUAUCGCCUUUAGACGGGCCCGCGUCGGAUUAGCUAGUUGGUGAGGUAACGGCUCACCAAGGCGACGAUCCGUAGCUGAUCUGAGAGGAUGAUCAGCCACACUGGGACUGAGACACGGCCCAGACUCCUACGGGAGGCAGCAGUGGGGAAUCUUGGACAAUGGGCGCAAGCCUGAUCCAGCCAUGCCGCGUGAGUGAAGAAGGCCUUCGGGUUGUAAAGCUCUUUUGUCAGGGACGAUAAUGACGGUACCUGAAGAAUAAGCCCCGGCAAACUUCGUGCCAGCCGCCGCCGUAA